rnacentral:rRNA from 1 species
GACAUAGGUCGCAAACGUUAUCCGGAAUUAUUGGGCGUAAAGGAUGCGUAGAUGGUUCAGUAAGUUACUGGUGGGAAAUCGAGGCUCAACCUCGUGGAAGUCAGUAAUACUGUUGAACUUGAGUGCAGGAGAGGUUAACGGAACUUUAUGUGGAGCGGUAAAAUGCGUAGAUAUAUAAAAGAACUUCAAUAUGGCGAAGGCAGUUAACUAUUCUGUUACUGACAUUGAGGCAUGAAAGCGUGGGGAGCAAAACGG